AAUAGCUUGGCAGAUUAUGCCCUUAAUUUAGGAUUAAGUUAAAUUUCUUAUGAAAUAACUAUUA
rnacentral:tRNA from 1 species